UAAGGUUGUAUUUCUGAGGGGAGCAUGUCUAUUACCUUGAUUGAGUUGACUUUUGGCUAUUGUAUUAUUGUUACAACUUACCAGCGAAAUAGAAAGAGAGACAUGUCUGAAAAGGAUGCAGGCAGAUGGGGCAAUGCACCCAUGAGCUCGCCACUAUGCUUAUAACUAGCUUGUUCAAUUUCUCCUUAGGAAGACGCUAAUGAUGAGCAACAUUCCUUGGGACACGCCGGAAAUCCAGAGGACACGAGUGGUGUCCCUUCAAAUGCAUGUAUCUUCCAAUAUGUAUUAUUUAACCUUAGUGAUUGUAUUUAUAGACACUUUGUGUUGCUUCUGUUUGUAGUUGCAGAAGUUUGAAGGAGUCAGGGUAGCUUCCAUAUCUGUAGUUAGGGCUGACGAUUGUGAUUUUGGGCCUGUACUGAAUAAUUUUGGGAGCGGCUGGGUAAUUACAAGCCAGGAGGACUGCAUGUGAUGAGUUCAGGGCUUAAGGCACAAGAAUAACUACGGCCAUUUUAGCUCCAACAGUAAGUACACAACCAAUCAACCAUGCAUUUUCACGACCCAGGUUUCUGAAUUCUGGCUGGCUGGCUCGCUGGCACAGCCACAUAAUCUCACACAUUCAAAUUGCUAGCUACACAAAAAAUGCCCAGAUCUACGAGUAGAAAUCCAAGGUAACACUUAGUGCCUACAAGCAUUUACUUCAUUUUUAUCUUCAUGUAAAAAGAGAAUGCAAGCUGAAAUAUACAGUCUGCAGAUUCCUCAUGUAUGUUCAAUUUUCAGAAUAGGAAGAACGAGACCGACAGCCCUUUAAUUAGAUUGGCUGAAGCAGCAUACAUACAUAUUACAAUUUUGCAUUUUAAAUUUGAAGACUAAGGCAACGACCGAUCGAUGUAAUUGGUGGUGAAUAUCUGUUUUCUUGUUUGUAUUUAAUCUUAGAAAACAGAAUCUCAUCAAGAGAAAAUCCGUAGGCAUUGCAGUCCAAUUAUUCUAGGGAUUGGAACCAGACAUGUGACUGAAUACUGCUUGGAACAUGUGAUUCUGCAAAGUUUGCGUACAUGCACCUUCUUGGAUGAUACAACUUCUCUAUGUUUGUACCUCCUCGUCAUUCAAAUUUUACAAACUUUAUGAAUAAAAAGUAGAAAGUAAUGUUCUCACUUCUCUUUUUAUGACCUUCAUUAUCUCAGUCUCAACAACAUCCAGGAGAUGUACCUAUGUAGCUACUGUUAGUUCAAAAGCUUUAUUUCACAAGUUGGCAAUACGAUAUUCAGGUAGUUAAGCAGGUGUUAUAGUUCUAAUUUACUUUUGUCUCAUAACACUUGGUCUCAUAAACAGUAGAGACUGUAGCCCAGUGUUGCUCAUUGCACACUUAUACUUAUUCUGAUUUUUGAUGGCCUCCUAAAUUUGAAUUAUUGUCUUGAUGUCAGGUGGAGGACCUUUGCAAUAUUAUCAAGCUUUAUGCCAAACUGGCACUCUUACUUGAUCCCGUAUUUACUCCUUCAAACAAUUUGUGCACAAAGUUGAGGAAGUUGGGGCCAAUAAUCAUGUUAGAAUAAACUUCUUUCUUCCUUUAACAGUUUGUUUCCAUAAUGUGGGACAGCAGGAUCCGCGUCCCACUAUGAGGGACCGACCUUCAGAGAUCAGCUACCGGCGUCAUACUGCCCCUGCAAGGCACCACAUGGAAGCCUCCUCUUUGAUUUUAGCAACAAUCACUCCCACUGACACCGCGGUGUGAGAAAAACACGAGCAUUCCUCUCCUUCCAAAUUUCCCACGAGAUAAGCAUCAUUAAAGAGCAUGAUAGUUCUUAUCUCCUCAAGUCUCAGAUCCAUUUUUAUCACCCUUUGGUAUGUUUCGUGGGGAUCUUUUUUAUUCAGCGCAUAAAUGUUGAUUCGUUCAUGUGUUUAGAAGUAAGAGGUGCAGCAUGCCAGGGUCCUCGAAGGAGAAAUAGAGCAGAGGAUCUUCUUAGCGAUUUGGAUGUACAGAGUUUAUGAUACAAAAACCUAUUUUAUUUUUGUACCGGCUAUUGAAUUUUCUCCUUUCUAUCUCUGAACCCUUUUGAUAUGUCCUUUACUCCUGAUUUCAGCCUUUUAAGGUAUGUUCUUCUUCCGGGAUUGCAGAGAGCAUGGAUCACCAUAUGGAAGGAGAUGCCAUCCUUACUGUCGUUGUCUUUGGCAUGUUGCUGCCAUCUUUCUAAUCCUUGCACUGUAGAUACCUCAGUCUAUCCAUGUAGAAUUUGUUUCAACUUGCCAUGUGUCCGUUCACCAACAGUACCGAGACCAUGCAACUUGGAACAUCAAAUACGUUGGAGACGUAUCAAGGAGGAAUGGUCGAACGAGGAGGAGGAGGACGACGACAGCAAUGAUGAUGACGACGGCUGCGGCGAUGUAAAGCCAAUGAUCAGCGGCAAGAAGCGUCGUCGCCGAGAUGAUGUUGCGGGCCAUCCAACAACAACAAUAAGAAGAAGAAGGACUAAAUUAAGUAGACUGUAUAUAUCUCUAUUUUUGUUAGCUCAUAUUAAUUCGUUAUCUCAAUUUCCCCUGUCAAUCUCAUCACAGACAAUUAGUAAUACGUAUUCGACAGAGAUGUUUUACAUUAUCGCCCACAUGUUGGUUUCUUGAAUUGUGUGCCCUAACGAGCACACAAUUAAAAAAAAAAGACCGUAUGGGCUGUCUAUAAUGAUCACACACAAUUC